rnacentral:snRNA from 1 species
GUGCUCGCUUUGGCAGCACAUAUACUAAAAUUUGAACAGUAUAGAGAUCAGCAAGGUCCCUGUGCCAGGAUGACACAGAAAUCCAUGAAGUGUUCCAUAUUUUU